AUGUACCAAAAAAUAAUAAAAGUGUGUGUGUGUGUGUGUGUGUGUGUGUGUGUGUGUGUAUACACACACUUUUAUUAUUUUUUGGUAUAUUU